rnacentral:lncRNA from 1 species
UUUUUUUUUUUUUUUUUUUUUUUUUAGAGAGAGAUAGAUAGCAUGCUACCCGCUUCGUUUAUUUCAAUUAGAAAUAAACUUAGCUGGAAAUGUGAAUCAACUAAGAUUCGAACUUGGGACCUCGGAUACGAACCACCAACCCCUUUGCCACUUGCUCUAGGAACGGUUGGUCAAAUAUAAAAGUUAGGCCCCGUUUGGAUACUCUUGAAAACGUAGCAUAAUUAAACUAUGCUACGGCGGUAGGAAAAAUAUGUUAUGAAGCGUUCGGGAAGAAAAAAAGUAACGUAAUUUUUGAAGUAUAGUUAAACUAUACUCCAAAAAAUAGAGUAAAAGUAUAAUCCACUCUAACCAAAGGAAAAGAAUUUCACCAUUCUUGAGCUCCCUUAUUUAAAAAAAUGCAUCAAGUUCUAACUUAACAUAAAAUUUUAAAUUUCAACAUAGAUUUAAAAUUUAAAAUUUAAAAUUUAAAACUUGAAAUUUAAAAUAUCACAUUUGAAAUUUUAAAUUAAAAUUUUAAAUUUUAAAUUUUAAAUUUUAAUUUAAAAUUUCAAACUUUAAAUUUCAAAUUUUAAAUUUCAAAUUUAAAUUUUAAUUUCAAAUUUCAAAUUUCAAAUUUAAAUUUCAAAUUUCAAAUUUUAAACUUUAAAUUUUAAAUUUAUUUUUUUUAAUUUUAAAAUUUUAAAAUUUUAUUUUAAAUAAAAUUUCAAAUAUAAAUUUUAAAUUUUAAAUUUUAAAUUUCAAACUUUAAAUUUUAAAUUUUAACUUUUAAAAUUUAAAAUUUAAAAUUUAAAAUUUAAAUUUUAAAUUUUAAAUUUCAAAUCUCAAGUCUCAUAGUUCAAAUUUCAAAUUUUAAACUUUAAAUUUUAAAUUUAUUUUUUAAACUUUAAAUUUUAAAUUUAUUUUUUAAAUUUAAAAUUCUAAAUUUCAAAUUUCAAAUUUUAAAUUUUAAAUUAAAAAAUUUAAAAAUUUAAAAAUUAAAUUUGGAUUUUUAAAUUUUAAAUUUUAAAUUGUAAAUUUCAAAUUUAAAAAUUUAAAAUUUAAAAUUCAAAAUUCAAAAUUUCACAUUUCACAAAUCAAAUUUUAAAUUUUAUUUUUUUUUUGAAAAUUUAAAUUUUAACUUUUAAUCUUAAAAUUUAGAAAAAUCCUGUGAAAUUGUAAAAUGCGGAUCCAAACAAUUUAAAAAUUGAAUCCGUGGAAUUUUUUAGAGUUGCAGGAUUCUCUAUUUUAUCUAGACCGAAAUCACAAUUUAUAAAUUUCGUGGAGAUAUUUUACUAUGUAUCCAAACAGGCCCUUAAUGUGCGAAAAAUACUAUGCUAGGAAGUUUUUCGAGUUUUUAUUUUGCCACUAUAUAAUUCAAAAAGUCAU